CCCAUCUCUGUCCCGUGGGUCUGACUCCUGCCCCGGCCCAAGGGCAGGGUCUCAGUACAUGUGAGAACAUCGUGAACAAGCAGGAGAGGAGGGAAACUGCAACAGAUGCUCUAGAAACACAAACAGGACUGUUUCUAAGAGUGCGACUGACGACUACGGUGUAAAAACGAUGACAUUUUAUUCGGUGCUGUCUAGGGAAUUUCCUAGCUCAAAAACCCACAAGGAAGAAAGACUGUUGUGACCUCAGGUGUUGAUGAUGUUUGCCAGUCUAAGAGGCGCCGCUGUUCCCUCCUGGGGUGGUGGCGUUGGGUUUGGAUUUCCUGGCAAGCGUGUUAAUGGGAUAAGCACUUCGCCAAUAUUCAGAGAAACUAGGUUUUAGUCAUCACUUCUUGUUACUCAGGAACACGAACUGCGGAAGCAGACACGAGCUCUCCCGGGCCUCAGUGACCUCAUUUUCAAAGGAGGCACUGUCGUGUUACAGGAAGUCUCACGCCUUUCCCCUGUGACGUCUCCGCGUGUUCCCCUCAGAUCCACGGUCGGAGGCGCCGUGUGCCUUCCCGAGACCGAAGGAAAUGCUCGGGAUAGAGGCGGACGCGAGGUGUGUGCGGGAAGACGUCCCGGGAGCUCCUCUGGGCGGCCGUCCACGGGAGCAGCCGUGGCCCUGGCCUGCUGCCCCCCUCUCUCCGAUAGCCCCCGCCUUGUGGAUUUCCGUGGGACUCAGAAGGAGGCCAACCAUGCAGGGUCUCCUGCCAGAUCUGACAACCUCAUCCUCACCACCUCCUCAAGACCUUGUCUCCAGGCAGAGUCACAUCCUGAGGUCCUGGCAUUGAGCAUGGAAUGGGGAUAAUUUACCCCGAAACACAAAGCAGGUAGAAAAUCUCAAUACUCAAACAUUGGGUGAUGCGAUUGGAAGAUAACUUACGGGUUAAAGAAGUAACAGGACAGUAAGAGAUAUCCUGAGCUCACAACAUCACAGAAUAUCAAAACUGUUGGAUCGCAGCAUUAGCAGUGUGAAGAGGUAUGUUCAUAGCUUUUUACGUAUUAGAAAAUAAGAACAAUUCAAAAUUUUAAAAAUCACCAAUUUUCCACUUGAAGGAAACUGAACAAAAUAAACUCAGAGAAAGUUUAAGAAGGGGAAUGAUAAAUAUAUGAGAAAUAUUAAAUGGCCAAUAGAUAAAUGGCAGAGGAAAUAAACAAAAUAAAACAUUUUAAAUUUUAAGUGAUUUAUAAAAAUGACAAAACUAGCAAGAUUAAAAGCAGAGAAGAGUAAAGAAUAGGGAUACAAUGUAUAAUGGUAAAAGAAAAAGGUAUUCAGUAUAUGUUGCUAGAAAAUCUGGAUAUCUAUGUGGAAUAAACAAAUCCUAUUCAUUCUUAACAUUGUGCCUAAGAUUAAGUCCAGAAUCAUCAUGAACCUCAUUAUAAAAACAUAAACCUUCAAGCCUAUACUUCACAUAGUAGAGGAUUGGUGAAAUCAUUGGGUAGUAGACAGAGUUUCAAAACAGACUACAGAAAGCACCAAGCUUUAAAGAUGUGCAAGGAAAAUAUAUUUCUUAAACAUUUAAAACUCAUCCUCGACAGGAGUAAUCAUUAAGAAAAUGAUCCAGCCAGCCACUGUCAGGGAGACAUGUGCAAUAUAUAUGUCCAGGAAACAUCCACUCCACAAUAAGUAAAGAACAUCUAUGGGUUAACGAUCUAAAAACAUCAAGCAACUCCAAAAGUGACCAAAAGCCUGAGACAGAUCCUUCCAAAGAGUGGACAUACAUGUGAUCAAUAAGCAGACAGAUACCUGAGGUCACUAUCA
rnacentral:lncRNA from 1 species